rnacentral:rRNA from 1 species
GACGUAGGGCGCGAGCGUUGUCCGGAUUUAUUGGGCGUAAAGAGCUCGUAGGCGGCUCGUUGCGUCGGCUGUGAAAACCCGCAGCUCAACUGUGGGCUUGCAGCUGAUACGGGCGGGCUGGGAUUCGGUAGGGGAGACUGGAAUUCCUGGUGUAGCGGUGAAAUGCGCAGAUAUCAGGAGGAAUACCGGUGGCGAAGGCGGCAUCCUGGACCGGCAUUGACGCUGAGGAGCGAAAGCUAGGGGAGCAAACGGG